AUUGCGCCAAAAAGUGAUAGCAUGAGUAGCAUUUUCAGGUGGCUUAGGAACAGAAGGCACAGCCUCCUCUGUAAGUCGUCUUGGAGCUCCAGUAAAGCUUCUUGAGCCCGAAGAUGGAAGGUUUUCCGAAGGUCCUACAGCAGCACUUUGUCUAGCUUGAUUAAAUAGUGCAUCCACGUCAUUCUCUUUUGAUGGAUCUUGAACAAGCAUUCCGCUUUUAUCUCCGCCAGUGUUAGCUUCUUGCGGCUCAACGGAGUCACUCCCUG
rnacentral:misc_RNA from 1 species